rnacentral:tRNA from 1 species
GCCCUUAUAGCUCAGUGGUAGAGCGCAUCACUCGUAUUACGCUUACGUAAUCAACAUGAUGAGGUCCAUUGUUCAAUCCAGUGUGGGGGCA